GCAGAGUGGAGAGGACACCACUGGGGGAAAAACAAGAGUACUUUUUUUUUAGAUGUGUUCAAAAUGCCUUUGAGAAUCACAAUUGCAGACCUCAAUCUAAGAUCAGUUUAUUUUUGAUUUGUAUGAAAAAUUGAGGUACUCUUUUUAAAAUAAUUUACUCACA